UCUCACUUCUAAUAAAAAUACACAGUCAUUCAUCAUUUAAAAUUUUUUAUUAGUCUAUUUGAUUACUGGUAUAACUUUUCAUUAGUCUGUUUGAUCACUGUUGGUUUUAUACUCUUAAAGCAUGUCUACUUACAAAAACAUGGUACUUGGUUAUCACUUAAAAUGGUCAAACAGAGCUGAACAUGGUGGCUUACACUUCUAAACCCAGCAGCUGGGAGACUGAGGCAGUAGGACCACUGUGAAUUCAAGGCCAGCAUGGGCUACAUAGUGAGUUUAAGGCCACCCUGAACUACAUAGUGAGAGCCUCUCAAAAAAAUGGUCAAACUUACUGAUUACUUAGAAACAAGAGAUUAUUAGCAUAUUUCAAAAAAGAAAAAAACUGAAAAAGCUUUUAUAGCUAAAAUGAAAAUAACCAUGUUUAAGUCAUUUGGAAUGACAAAAAUACUGCUUUAAGACAAAAUCUAUGUUUCAAUCCAGCACAUCUUUAAAAAGUCCACUUCAUCAAUGCACAGAAAUUUCCCACCCUUUUAAGGACCACUUCUAGUUUUAGGUACAUUUUCCUAAAUUUUUGUUAUGUAUUUUUUUUUAAAACAAUAGCAUCUGUUUUGAAUAAAUAAAAAAUGUGUUAAAUGGCAGUGUCUGUUUAGAUAUCAGGGGGCAAAAAAGUAGUUUCAGUAUUUUUAUCAUCUUAGGUAAUAUAUUUAAAAGUCAUGAAAAAGGAGUAACAUGUGGAAAGUUCCCCAACACAGGAUAAUUUGUAGAAAUUAUUUAAGUUAAAAUAAAACACUUAAAGUAUGUAUCUUUUAGGAUCUGUCAGUUCUAAUUUCUAAAGUGAAAGUCAUAUUUUCAUUUCUUAAAUAUAUGCAAUCAAGCUCCUUUAAAAUAUAUGCAAUACUGACAAAAAUACAGUUCUGCAUUACAAUGCUGAAAAGGGAAUAAAAAUAGAUAUAGUUAUACAUGGAAAAGUGAACACUUCAAUCAAAUGAAUAAAACAGACACGAGGCAGAGUCAACAUCUUAGCAUAAAGGUGUGUGGUAGAGAGAGUAAGAUAACGAAAGCUUGAAAAGAAUGUCUCUUUUAGAGAAUGAAUUCUCACUAACAUGAGAAGAAAAGAAAAUGUUUCCCUCUAUUACCAGAAGAUGCAGGACUUAUCGAGAGGGGCAUCAAGUGAAUAUAUUCACUAAUGAUGUAAGAGAAGAAAGGUUUAUCAUAUCAGACAACAGACACUAUUUGUGUUUUAUGCUAGAGAUACUAUUCAAAACCUAAACUCUGGAAAUUUGGAACAAAACCACUCGUAUUGGUAACAGGUUGAUGGAUUUUUUUUUUGUCCUUAAUGUUUCUCUGAAAUAUACUAUGAAUGACAAUAUUUUGAUGCAUAUAGAUGUACUUUAUUCAAACUACUACAUUGUUCUAGGUUACAUAGGUGGCUUUGUUUGAGCUGGUACAACAAAAUACCAUAGACUGCAAGUCUGAGAUCAGUGCCGGUCAGGUUUUCCGGAGGGAACUCUUCCCAGCUGUGGGUGGCUGCCUUCUUGCUGUGCUCUCACACGGGGCAGAGAGCAGCUCGAUCGCAUCUCUUCCUUAAAGCACCUAAUAUCCUCAGGGCUCCUUUCACGUAACCUCACUUACCUUAAAUUCUUUCCUAAGGGCCCCACCUCCAAAUACAUACUGGUGGUUAAACCUCAAUAUAUGAGUUUUGGGAAGAUAGAGGAGUCUGUAGUCCAUAAAGCAUGUGAUAAGACUCUGUUUGGAAUAGUAGGAGGGAGGGAAAGAGGAAGCCAGGAGUAUGAAGCGGAGUUUGGAAGCAGGGUUAUGAACUUCCCAGAGAAACGCAGUGACACUGCUGGGCCCACUCGAGGUCAGUCUAUUUAUACGUUUCUCCAUCUCCUAACGUUGAAACACAAGAUGGAAAGUGGUAUUUGAGUAAAAGCAGGAAAUGGGGUUCAAGGAAAGUGAGAACAGACAGAAGAGCAAUUGUCAAAGGUUUUGCAGAAUGACUACAUCAGAGCAAGGAUGAAGCAACACAGAGAAGGGGUGGUUUUGGUUAUCUGCUGCUGCCCAGUUAUCUCAAAACUUUGGCUUAAAACAAGCACUUCAUUUUGGUCACAAUUUAAGGAAUCCUUAAAGAGCCUAGAUAAAUGAUGUGUUUCUGCUACAUCUGGUAUUAUCUAGAGCAGCUCUUUUUAAAAAACUUUAUCCCUACUGUAAAAUCUAUCAUCUUAAAGUAUACAAUUUAGCAGUUUUAAAAUACAUUCACAAAUUUGUGCGACUAUCACUGCUGUCUUAUUUCCAGAACAUUUUCAUCACCCUCAAAGGAGGACCAUGCGCACCAAGCAAUCACUUCUCAUCUUCCCCUUGCCCCAGACCUGGGAAGCACUAAUCUUUCUGUUUCUAUGGACUUGCCUAUUCUGGAAUUUCUCAGAAAUGAAGUACAUAGCCUUUUAUGUCUGGUUUCUCUCACGAUGUUUUCCAGGCUCAUCCUUGUCAAAAUAUGAGAACCUCCUUUUUUGCAGAGCCAAAUUAGUACUCCACUGUAUGGAUAUGUCACGUUGUUUAGCGAUUCAUCAGUUGAUGGGCACUGGGGUUAUUUCAUCUUUUGGAUGUUAAGAAUAAUCUUGCUAUAAAAUUUGCAUACAAGCUUUUGUGCAGACAUAAGGUUGCAGUUCUCUAAGGUGUAUUAUCUAGGGGUGGAGUUGCUGGGUAAUAUGGCAACACUGUAUUUAAUUAUUUGAGCAAGCAGCUGGGUCUUGAGGAUUUGUUUCCAACAUAGCAAUUUUAUUCAUGUCUGAUGUCUUCUUUAAAGUCUCUACAGGUGGCAUGGAAUUUUCCAGUAUGAUUUCCAGGUAACCACAGAACCUAAGAGAGGAAGUAUUCUAAAGAGGAAAUGGAAAAUGCCAGGCCACUUUAAGGGCCAAGUCUGGAACUGGCAGAAUCAUUUUAUAUUCUUCUGGUCAAAUUACUCAAGACAUGCAGGAACAGAAAUAACUCCGCCUCUUAAUGGGGGUACAAGGUCACACUACAGAACAGCAUAUGGGUUUUUCAUACACAUUAAGCACGUACCUCCAGUCAGUACUGCUUUACCUCUUCAAACAGUAAGCUUGAGGCCCCUACGGCUCGCCAGUAGCCGGCGUCUGCAGAGGUACAGAGAACCCAAGCCCCGGGGUGCUGCGCCGUGACCAGACGCGGAACCACAGAACUGAUUUCUAGACCUGCCAGGAGACACCCGGACUGCGGCCUACGGGCGAAAACGCUUCUGCCCGGGGAACA